GGAGGCGGGUUUAUCCAGUGUGGCUACCCAACCACCCCUCCACCCGGUGUCAAGAGCACACGGUCAGCGCUGAGCUGCGGGUGUAGCCCAAAAGACUUGAGACCUCGUGUUCUGGGAGAGGACAGACAGAGCUCACCGUCUCCAGCUGAGGAAGACAAUGAACAAGAGUUCCCGUUGCUCUGUAUUCUCACCAGCAUCACGUGUUGUCAGUGUUCCGGAGUUUGGCCAUUCUAAUAGGAUAGCUGCUUCUCCUAUCCUGGAGGGUAAAGGACGGAACACUUUAGCAUGAGAGAACUCCAGUGAUCCUUCACACCCCCUGGGAGAGGAAUAUGCUCUCUAUCCCUUCAGAAUGAAGCAGAUUCCAGUGCUCUGUUGAUGUUCUUCAUCUUGUCAUCUAUGUUUUGUGCACACUAAUGGCAAG